AGAGUUUGAUCCUGGCUCAGAUUGAACGCUGGCGGCAGGCCUAACACAUGCAAGUCGAGCGGCAGCGGGAAAGUAGCUUGCUACUUUUGCCGGCGAGCGGCGGACGGGUGAGUAAUGCCUGGGAAAUUGCCCAGUCGAGGGGGAUAACAGUUGGAAACGACUGCUAAUACCGCAUAAAAAUUUUAAACACAAGUUUUAAGUUUGAAAGAUGCAAUUGCAUCACUCAAAGAUGAUCCCGCGUUGUAUUAGCUAGUAGGUGGGGUAACGGCUCACCUAGGCGACGAUCCCUAGCUGGUCUGAGAGGAUGACCAGCCACACUGGAACUGAGACACGGUCCAGACUCCUACGGGAGGCAGCAGUGGGGAAUAUUGCACAAUGGGCGCAAGCCUGAUGCAGCCAUGCCGCGUGUAUGAAGAAGGCCUUCGGGUUGUAAAGUACUUUCAGCGAGGAGGAAGGCGUUGUGGUUAAUAACCGCAACGAUUGACGUUACUCGCAGAAGAAGCACCGGCUAACUCCGUGCCAGCCGCCGCGGUAAUUC
rnacentral:rRNA from 1 species